rnacentral:rRNA from 1 species
AGUGAACGCUGGCGGCGUGCUUAACACAUGCAAGUCGAACGAGAACGGAUUAUAGCUUGCUAUAAUUGUCAGCUAAGUGGCGCACGGGUGAGUAAUGUAUAGGUAAUAUGCCUCUUACUAAGGGAUAACAAUUGGAAACGAUUGCUAAUACCUUAUAUUCCUUUUUAUCAAAAGAUAAAAAGGGAAAGAUUUAUUGGUAAGAGAUUAGCCUGUAUUGUAUCAGUUAGUUGGUGGGGUAAUGGCCUACCAAGACAAUGACGCAUAACUGGUUUGAGAGGAUGAUCAGUCACACUGGGACUGAGACACGGUCCAGACUCCUACGGGAGGCAGCAGUGGGGAAUAUUGCACAAUGGACGAAAGUCUGAUGCGGCAACGCCGCGUGGAGGAUGACACAUUUCGGUGCGUAAACUCCUUUUAUAUAAGAAGAUAAUGACGGUAUUAUAUGAAUAAGCACCGGCUAACUACGUGCCAGCAGCCGCAGUAACAC